CGAGCGAAUGGAUUAAGAGCUUGCUCUUAUGAAGUUAGCGGCGGACGGGUGAGUAACACGUGGGUAACCUGCCCAUAAGACUGGGAUAACUCCGGGAAACCGGGGCUAAUACCGGAUAAUAUUUUGAACCUGCAUGGUUCAAAAGUGAAAGACGGUCUUGCUGUCACUUAUAGAUGGAUCCGCGCUGCAUUAGCUAGUUGGUAAGGUAACGGCUUACCAAGGCAACGAUGCAUAGCCGACCUGAGAGGGUGAUCGGCCACACUGGAACUGAGACACGGUCCAGACUCCUACGGGAGGCAGCAGUAGGGAAUCUUCCGCAAUGGGCGAAAGCCUGACGGAGCAACGCCGCGUGAGUGAUGAAGGUCUUCGGAUCGUAAAACUCUGUUAUUAGGGAAGAACAUAUGUGUAAGUAACUGUGCACAUCUUGACGGUACCUAAUCAGAAAGCCACGGCUAACUACGUGCCAGCAGCCGCGGUAAUACGUAGGUGGCAAGCGUUAUCCGGAAUUAUUGGGCGUAAAGCGCGCGUAGGCGGUUUUUUAAGUCUGAUGUGAAAGCCCUGGGCUCAACCUGGGAACUGCAUCCAAAACUGGCAAGCUAGAGUACGGUAGAGGGUGGUGGAAUUUCCUGUGUAGCGGUGAAAUGCGCAGAUAUAGGAAGGAACACCAGUGGCGAAGGCGACCACCUGGACUGAUACUGACACUGAGGUGCGAAAGCGUGGGGAGCAAACAGGAUU
rnacentral:rRNA from 1 species